ACCCUCAGCUCUUCCCCUGUCACAUCUCAUCCAUCCCAUCUCAUCCAUCCCAUGGGGUCAAGCCUGGUCAGCACUCAGAUGGGAAACUCCCUGGAAAACCAGGAGCUGAGGGAG
rnacentral:rRNA from 1 species